rfam:Hordeum vulgare subsp. vulgare, WGS project CAJW01000000 data, contig: morex_contig_402217
AAUGUACUCCCUCCAUCCAGAAAUACUUGUCCUUGAAAUGUAUAAAAUGGAUGUAUCUAUAACUAAAAUAAGUCUAGAUACAUCUAUCUCUAGGACAAGUAUUUUCGGACGGAGGGAGUAGUAC